AAGGAUGUUUGAUCUCUAAUGAGA
rnacentral:piRNA from 1 species